ensembl:lncRNA
AUCCACAUUAUUAACAUAUUCACCAAAACAUACAGAAAGUAUAAGAAUCUUUGUAGAAUGUAACAUUUUUUUGUCCACUAUGUCUAUCCACUGGGAAGAACAUUUAUCAAAAAUUUGUACCUCAUUAUUUAUUAGGUAGAGAGGGAAUUUCAUGCUUAUCAAUACAAAAAUUGUCUAUUAAAGUAACUUCGGAGACAGAUCUUAGUACAGUGUUUAUUAAAUAUAGAAUUGGCAUAAAUAUAAUAUAUAAUAUUCUAGUACAAUAGAUGUAGGAAACAUAGAAAUCUGUUGAUCAGUACUUUAUAACAGUUACUAUAUCAUAAUAUUUACUAAAAUGUAUAGAUAGAUGCACUACUCUUCUAGAUUAAUGUGUUUAGAUUAAUGAGUCUAGUGUUGAUCAUUUGAGAUAUUACUUGGGACUUCUGGUCUUCAAAGUUACCCUAACUUGCAAAAUGAAACACUGUUCUCAGUAGUUAAAAACAUCACAAGAAAAGCAGAAACGAGAGGUAAAUAAUAUCAUAAAUGUAAUCUUAUUCAGAUUCUACUGAAAUGAUACACAUGUUGAAGAAUAACAAUCACAACUUCCAUGGCCAUUACAAUCAAUUUUACCUGUUGUGUAAAUAUCUUGGGAUUUUCAAAAACUUUUGAAAAUGAUAUAGACCUAUCUGAAUGUCAGCUUUAGCAUUAGUUAUUUGGAAAGAAAAUGAAAGUCAUUAUUUUUUAAUUGAGUUUGAAUAAACACUUUUCAUAGAGAAUUAGCAUACGACACAACAGACAAAAUCGAUUAAGGGUUGCCAUCUGGCAGAAGUCUAGAAAAGUUGCUGCCAUAUGUUUUGACCAAGACUGCAAAAUAAACUGUUUUAUACUGUCACCACCUCCAGUUCUGUUUUAUAAAUUACAUUCCAUUUUAUUAUAUAUAUGAGAAAGAUUAGGAAAGAUUUCAUCUAUGACUGGCCGCUUAAUUGGGAAACAGACGCCAUAUAAAAUUUUAAAACAGACACAGGGUGAAUGGGGCUCAGUUUGAAAGCUAUUUGACAGCUGUAAGUAAAAAAGUGCAAGAACUGCUAUAAAUUUCUUAUUAGGCAGACCUUUAAUUUUUAAUCAGUAGUAUUUAAAAUGUUCUUAAAUAUUCAACAAUUGUAGUUUAUCGUUGGUAAUAAUUACAGAAGAAAACAACACAAAAUUCCUGGGCUAAGUAAGAAUGUUCAUUAAAUCCAUGGGUAAUAUUAAAGAGAAAGGAAAGGAAAGGAAAGGAAAGGAAAGGAAAGGGAAGGGAAGGGAAAGGAAGGGAAGGGAAGGGAAGGGAAG